ensembl:lncRNA
CCUACACUUCACAUAACAGGCCUGUAGGUGGCACUUGGGCUUCAUUAACUAUGAUAGUUUCAUGAAAUAGUAAACAGUGUAGCCUACCAUACAUAAAUAUAAGUGAAUUAAAUACUGAUUACCAUUAUUAUGACUUUUGGCACUGCACAGUGUUGUGCAUUGCUUUUGUAGAACUUAAGCAUCCAUUUUCUCAGCAUUGUAAUUUGAUUUAUAUUACCCACUCACUGAAUGAAGGUUUACGAACAGACUGCGGAGUCAAUCUAGCAAAAUGCAUGCAACCCAUAGCAACAGCUCAGACUGACAGAUAUGUAAAAAUAAACAGGAAUUUUCUGUGGCUCAGUGGUAGAGCAUUGUGUUAGCAGCAGAAAAGGUUGUGCGUUUGAUUCCCAGGGAACACACAUGGUAAAAAAAAAACGUAUAGCCUGAAUGCACUGUAAGUCACUUUGGAUAAAAGCGUCUGCCAAAUGCAUAAAUGUAAAAAGGGCAGGGGCUUGAGCCCCCAAAGCCUCCUCUUCUGCAUGUGCCUAACUGUCAGGGAGUUUCUGUUACCAGCCCUGGACUCCAUGUCCCAGAAUCCUCCCCGGCUCACAUGUCACGAUCACCUGGAGUUUUAAUCACCCGCACCUGCUGCAGCUCAUCAAGCUCCCCUUUAUCUGCUCACUCUCCACACUCCCUUCUUGUCUGGUCUACCAUUCACGUCACUGGACUAUACCAGACUCACUACCUGAACAUACCUGUGUUUGCUUACCUUAGAUGUUCCUGUGCUCCACCACUUCAGUGAACUGGAGCCCUCCUUGGGCUGGACAUGGCCUUCUGAACUAUCUGCUCCACCAUGGCUUCCUAGUCUGCCUGCUCCGCCAUGGUCCCCUGAUCCGCCAUGGCCUCCAGAGUCCCCUGUCCCACCAUGGCCUCCUGAGCUCCCUUAUCUGCCCUGGAGGCUUCUCUUUUCUCCGUCUUGGACCAGCCUCCAGAGUGCCCCCCCCUCUGUGGAUAUGUUACGGCACGGCACAUGCCUUCCAGGGUGGGAAGAUGUUCCUGUGCUCCACCGCUCCAGUGCUCCACUGAUCCCAAACCUCUAAGUUUGUCCUGCAAAGAAACAAAGAUCCAUCACCUCAAGAUAAGCCAUUCUGAAAUUGACUCUCUGUGCCACACUCACCUCUCGUCCGCUCCUAAUUCCUCCUUGCUCCCAUUCAGUAAAUACCUCUGUGUCCCUAGCCUGUGUCGUGACAAUGACAUUAUUCUAACAGAAUGAUCAAUAGCUCUCUUUAGCUUAUUGUUGGACAUUUUGGGCUAGCAUAAGAUGUAGCAUUGUCUAGGAAAUGAUUGAAAUGAUUGAAUUGUUUACUUUAUCUCUUAAAUAUGAGACAGCCUUGUUUUCUUUACCAUUGUUCUACUUAACAGUUUCUAGCUAAUUUGCUACUAAAUAAUUUUUAAUGUUCUGCUGGUAACAUUACGCAUGAAGUAAUUUCCUCCCUGUGUCAUAGCAACACAAUGUGCUUGGUGACAGUACAUCUUUGCAAUCACUGAUAAGUGAUAACUCCAAAGAUUGAUUAACCCAAAAAGAAAGACAAGAUUUUAUCCUGUCAUGUGUGCCAUGGUAAAUGAUAGGUGUGGUUGAAGAAACACUGGAAAGGUCGAAGAGAAGUUAACCUGCAGUAUGUCUGUAGGCCAGCUGAAUGCCUAUGACAUCAGGGGGAAAGAGGAACUUAUCUCAACUGUAUAUCAUGGCAACUGUCCAGGGCUUUUGACAGGUUUGUUUUUUUUAGCUUUUUCUGAUAUUUGAACAAGUGCAUGAUACAUGAAAGGCGUCCUGUGGUCCCAGCUUAAACAUCUGAGAAGGCUUUGCUGGACUUUUUGCUCAUUUUCUGUUCUAAAAUACAAAUGAACAGCUACACAAAGCUAGAGUAAGUAAUCUUAGUGAGCCACAGCCCGCCCA